GUCCAGACAUAGGAAGGAUUGACAGAUUGAUAGCUCUUUCUUGAUUCUAUGGGUGGUGGUGCAUGGCCGUUCUUACUGGUUAAUUCCGUUAACGAACGAGACCCCGGUUUGGGUAUGGAACUUCCAUGACGGAAGAGGGUUUGGAUCUACUCGCUGACUAAUGUCAUGGGCUCAAAGCAGAACGGCGUGAAUAGUGAAUAGAAAAACAUUUUCAGGCUAGGGCUUGCUCCCCGUAGAC
rfam:Perkinsus marinus ATCC 50983 gcontig_1104296579470, whole genome shotgun sequence.